rnacentral:rRNA from 1 species
AUUGAACGCUGGCGGCAGGCCUAACACAUGCAAGUCGAGCGGAGCGGCGGACGGGUGAGUAAUGCCUAUGAAUCUGCCUGGUAGUGGGGGCUAACGUUCGGAAACGGGCGCUAAUACCGCAUACUAUCAGAUGAGCCUAGGUCGGAUUGGCUAGUUGGUGGGGUAAAGGCGUACCUAGGCGACGAGCAGUACCUGGUCUGAGAGGAUGAUCAGUCACACUGGAACUGAGACACGGUCCGGACUCCGACGGGAGGCAGCAGUGGGGAAGAUUGGACAAUGGGCGAAAGCCUGAUCCAGCCAUGCCGCGUGUGUGAAGAAGGGCGUCAGGUUGUAAAGCUCUUUAAGUUGGGAGGCGUUACCUACAGAAGAAGCACCGGCUAACUUCGUGCCAGCAGCCGCGGUAAUUC